AUACUUACCUGGCACAGGCUUUACAGUGAUCCGCGAAGGCUUUCAAAUUCCAAAGCGACCUUCCACGCAUUACCGGCUUUGCCGGAUUCCCCUGCGAUCGUCCCAAAAUGUGAAUGACUCGGGUGCGCAAUUUAUAAGUGUGGGGACGGCAAGCCUGCGCCUCCCCG